rnacentral:rRNA from 1 species
AUUGAACGCUGGCGGUAUGCUUAACACAUGCAAGUCGAACGCGAAAGUUCCUUCGGGAGCGAGUAGAGUGGCGAACGGGUGCGUAACACGUAGGAAUCUACCUUUCUGUGGGGGACAACUCGGAGAAAUCCGAGCUAAUACCGCAUACGCCCUACGGGGGAAAGCAGGGGACCUCUUCAGAGGCCUUGUGCGGAAAGAUGAGCCUGCGUCGGAUUAGCUUGUUGGUGGGGUAAUGGCCUACCAAGGCAACGAUCCGUAGCUGGUCUGAGAGGAUGAUCAGCCACACUGGGACUGAGACACGGCCCAG